GGAGGAGGUAGCGACGGCCAUAUUGCCGUUUCUCGAGAGGCGAAAGAACGAUCCGAGACAGCACUGUGAAGCUGCUGAGUUUCGGGGUCCAAUCUGAAGUUUUGAACGGUCACUGCUGCGGUGAAUUCGAUUAAGUGAAUAUAUUUCGAAAAACGACCCAAUUUCAAGAGGAAAAUCUCAAUUACUUAGUUCCAAGUUUUUUAGUGAUUGUACGCGACGGUAAAUGUGCGUCGUCGUCAUCGUGUCGCGCGCGUGAACGUGCAAGUGUGUGAAGCCGGUGCGCGAUUAUGCGAUUAAAAGUGCAAGCAGGACACGGACGAUAAGGUUCUUACGAGCGUGAAUUCGCUAAUGAUCAAAAACGUCCUAGGAAAACGUCCGUAGGAACGAACACAGAUUGACCGAAAAGUGAUGUUUAAGGCUCGAACAUGAGAAAUGUCUAUGUAACGAUGUGUGCGUAAUGAAUCGCGAUUGUGAUAUCAGGUGAUCAGACGACGCGGAUCAAAAGGUAAAGCUUCUUACCGAAAUAUUUUGCGGGACCAACGGCUUCAUCAACGAAAAAACGAGAGGAACCAAGCGAGGAAGACCAGCGGGCCCCCGAAGAAGGGUGCCCUCGAGAGAAGAGUAGUCCCGACAACAGCGAAUUCGCCAGAACAUCGGACGCCUCGGUCUAUGAAGAAGGUGGUGACACUAUCAUCCGUUGAGAUGUGAUCCAGAACAUAGGAGGGACACUCAGUAGUUUGUAGUUGGUCCCCCAUCUCCCCCCUCUAUUACCUCAUCACCCCACUAGCCCCCUUGCGACCUCUACUACCUACUCUAUUUCCCCCUCUCGCCUCUCUCCGUAUACGUGCACGUGUGAUAAUCCACCGGUAAAGCAACCACCACGGGGAUCAGCAGCUUCCUUUGAAUACACCGGCUAUUGGUACCGCACAACGACAUUUCUCCUUCCCUUCUAAUACAAUCCCAACGAGUUUUUUUAUCGCCCGCUCUUCUUCAAACAACGUGCCAUAUCAACCCUCAGCAACCUGUGAUAUAAUACUCGAUGUCUAAAUAUUUACAUAGACAUAAACACCUAGUCGAAGACUAAAAUCAGGCUGAAGGUUUCAUCAGAUUCAAUAUCAAAAGAGAACUGAAAUUCCUAAGACAACGAGAACUUAGCCCGACCAGAAUACGUUCUUUAAGCGGAUUUAAUAUUACGACGAGAAAAGAGAAACGAAAGACGGCGCUGGAGAAUGUCGACGUGCACCGACGAGGCCGAUAAUGCACCCUGCACUCUGUCUCCGCGCCACCCGUUGCGCGAAAUAACGAGGAUGGUGGACCGCAGGGAUUAUUACCAGUCGUGAAGAACAGAAUUUCUGGGACGUCCCUGACACGUCAAGGUCUAAAUGAUGUACGAGUCUGUUCGUGUACGAUAAUCUGUCAAUUCCAUUAUUAAUGCUAAAGAAAUCACGAUUACGAGUUAUGUUUUAAAAUAUCGAAUACCUCGAAAAUAAUGUACAUUCCAAGAGUUAAGAAUUAAUUUUAAUAAAAAUGGGAAAAUUCUAAAAUAUGAGCUAAUUUUCUGAAUAAAUUAUUCUCAGAUAAGAUUAUUAUAUUUUGUUAUUUGCUACUUCAUUUUACAUGCUGCUUAUAUUUUUGGUAUUUCAGCGCAAUUUCUGCUAUAUUCAUUAAUAGCACGAUAUUUCUUGUACUCCAAAUUUUUCGAUAAUAGAAAUUUAAUUUGUUUAAAAAAUUUGUCAUAGACAUUUUACUUUCAAUUGUGAUAUUUAAUGCAAAUUAACUUCAAAUGCAAUAACAAGAUAGCCUUCGAGGUCAAAGGAGCGCUUUCAUGAAAAUUCAAUUCAAAUCGCUGCAGGUAGCUUCAAAGUUUUUGUAGCUUCAAAGAAUCUCUCGAAAGUGAAAUGCAUUGAUCAGCUCCGUUACUCGUUCUACAAUGAAAAGGGUGAAUAAGUAUGGGGCGUAAGUCGUUCUACGAGAAUCUUAAUAGCUCGAUGGAUUAUGGAUAAAUCCCUACAGAAUAAUUAUAGAUUAUAGAUCCAUUUUGCGCGACGUUCGUAACUUCUAUUAAAUAUUUAUUAAAUAGAUUGAAUAUUUCGAGACCAAAGAGCUUUGAGUUUUUCGAUCUCUUGUUUUAUCCAAUAAUAAAAAGAAAAACAGUAAUUACAACGCAAAUAAUAUGGUAACUUAAAAUCUAUCAAAAGAAUAAAAUUUCUUUUUUCUUUGUCCCUUUUUUCAAUAACAUAUGAUAUUUAAAUAAGAAAAAAUGAUUACGCAAUCAUUUAUGUAACAUUGUUAUAUUUACGUCAGUGGCAUUUAAAUAGCACUAUAAGAACAGAAAAUUUUUCAAUAAGGUAAAAUAUUUAAAUGAGAAAAAGUUUUGACGCGAGAAAAAUUACAAGGAUUUAAGAUACUAUCGAUGAACGUCAUAUGAAAGUCGUAUGAAGAUCAAUAAAAAAGUCAUUUGCAUCUUGCUCUCCUUAAACCGUUGCGUGCGGAUGUGCGCUCGAUAAAUCUCGUGAAAAGACGAAAAUAAGGACCGUUUCGCACCUGCGCCUGGCGCCUUUUAAUACGCGGUUAAAAUCCGUUUACGACAAGCAUCGCAAGUGCGUGAGCAUACCGGGUGUUCAAGUAAUCGUGUAAAUAUUAUCGCGUUUCCGGAUCGAAAGAAAAUAUCCAGGUGUGACUUCACAGUACCGAGAUGUGGAUGAGCGCGUUUGAAUUUUCAGUUAUUGUGGAUGCGUAGGGACGCGCCGAUGUUGUUGUCACUAACGAAAUUCUUUCCCGACGGAGCGAUACAUUAUUAAUCGUCCUUUCGUCUCUUCGUGUAUGCGUCGGAGCCUACCUAUCUACCUGUGGACAAGACUGGCUACGACGAAGGAAAAGAUUCACCGUGCGCGAUGAUGACUCUUCAGAUUUCUCAUACCUGAUGAUCAAACGAAGAGAACCUUCGUCGAUGAUCGCGCCGUUCAUUAUGGAGAUAAGAAGUAAAGGCUCUUUAAUAGAAUUCCGGAGCGACUGGUCAUUUUGUAUCUUCAUUAACUUUUUCGUUAACCGAUUCAUUAUUGGGCGGUAGGCAAAA
rnacentral:misc_RNA from 1 species